CAGUCGCCGCGGGAACACGAAGGGGGCUAGCGUUGUUCGGAUUUACUGGGCGUAAAGCGCACGUAGGCGGACUUUUAAGUCAGGGGUGAAAUCCCGGGGCUCAACCCCGGAACUGCCUUUGAUACUGGAAGUCUUGAGUAUGGUAGAGGUGAGUGGAAUUCCGAGUGUAGAGGUGAAAUUCGUAGAUAUUCGGAGGAACACCAGUGGCGAAGGCGGCUCACUGGACCAUUACUGACGCUGAGGUGCGAAAGCGUGGGGAGCAAACAGGAUUAGAUACCCCCGUAGUCCCUGUCUCUUAUAC
rnacentral:rRNA from 1 species